rnacentral:rRNA from 1 species
GACGUAGGGCGCGAGCGUUGUCCGGAUUUAUUGGGCGUAAAGAGCUCGUAGGCGGUGUGUCGCGUCGGCCGUGAAAACCUGCAGCUUAACUGUGGGCUUGCGGUCGAUACGGGCAUCACUGGAGUUCGGCAGGGGAGACUGGAAUUCCUGGUGUAGCGGUGAAAUGCGCAGAUAUCAGGAGGAACACCGGUGGCGAAGGCGGGUCUCUGGGCCGAUACUGACGCUGGAGGAG